rnacentral:rRNA from 1 species
UACGGGGGGGGCAAGCGUUGUUCGGAAUCACUGGGCUUAAAGGGUGCGUAGGCGGCUUGUUAAGUCGGGGGUGAAAUACUUCGGCUCAACCGGAGAAUUGCCUUCGAUACUGGCGAGCUGGAGGAAGGUAGGGGUCGCGGGAACUGCCAGUGGAGCGGUGAAAUGCGUUGAUAUUGGCAGGAACGCCGGUGGUGAAGACGCGCGGCUGGACCUUUUCUGACGCUGAUGCACGAAAGCCAGGGGAGCAAACGGG